AACGUAGGUGGCGAGCGUUAUCCGGAUUUACUGGGCGUAAAGGGUGUGCAGGCGGGCGACCAAGUGGGGUCUGAAAUAGCCCGGCUUAACCGGGCGAGGUUAUGCCAGACUGGUCGUCUGGAGUGCGAGAGAGGGGCGUGGAAUUCCGGGUGUAGUGGUGAAAUGCGUAGAGAUCCGGAGGAACCCCAGAGGCGAAGGCGGCGCCCUGGCUCGCAACUGACGCUCAGACACGACAGCAUGGGGAGCGAACGGG
rnacentral:rRNA from 1 species